AGCGCUUAUCGGCAAUGUUGGGGUCGAACGAUUCAGGAAGGGAGAACGCCGACGGUUAUGGUCGAGGGAAGUUGAUGAGUCCUCGUGAAGAAGAAGACAUGGGGUGCUGAGAGGACAGAAAAAUAAAGAAGAAGGUGGGAAGAAGAGGUCGAAAAUCCUGGGGCACAACCUGACCCGACCCGUUGGACUGACCUGACCAGACUCACUUGUACAAAAUCAAAACCCAAAUUUUUCCUUUCAUUUCACCCCAUUUGAUUCGUUUUUGUUCAGAUUUAGGUACUUGACUCACACAUUCCAUAAUGCCUUAUUUAUAGGAAAAUUCCCAAUUAGCUUAGUCAAGUGGACACUUGAAGACUCGAUAAACUUUCAGGAAGUCUACGAUCAGGUGAAAAGUAGAUCUGGAUCGGUGGCGGUAACGUGUGGAGGCAUGCAACUGUAGAAGGGGCCCUUAGAUUGAGUCCUCUUCUCCCAUGUCGUUUUGGUUAUGAUUUUCAUGUUUUUGGAAAAACACGCGAUAUUUUGCAACCGUUUCCUUUUGAUGUGACUCUACAGGUUCUCGUUAUGUGUUUUGUAGUAAUUUUGAUAUUUUGAAAUGUAUAUCAGACUACUUUUAACUUUUAGUCCCCUGUUCAAA